ACAAAGGUUUUUUUAAAAACUAUUCAAUUGCAUAUAAAAUCAAUUU
rfam:Crassostrea gigas strain 05x7-T-G4-1.051#20 contig8265, whole genome shotgun sequence.